ensembl:snoRNA LOC120093385 small nucleolar RNA SNORD113/SNORD114 family
AGGACCGGUGAUGAGAUCUGGUGGUGUUUGAGUGAUAUUCCAUGACCGCCAAGUAUCCAGAUAUCUGAGGUCAAU